rnacentral:lncRNA from 1 species
CAUGUCAAUCUUUUGUCUGUCAGCAAGUUGACAAAGUUUCUGAAUUGCUCUCUAACUUUCUAUCCAACUUUUUGUGUUAUGUAGGAUUUGGAAUCGAAGAAGUUGACCGGUUUGGGAAAGCUUGCUAAUGGGCUCUAUUACCUCACCACAGAACCAAAACCAACCAUGCAAAUGAAGCCUAGAAUCAACCAUGUUACAAGCACCUUGUGGCACCAAAGGCUGGGACACCCAUCAAUUCAACCUUUGAAACAUCUUAGUAGUUCUGGUUUAGACAUUUCUUUUUAUUCAAAUAAUGUUUGUGAAAUUUGUCAUCUAGCAAAGCAAACUCGUUUACCAUUUGGGAAUAGUUUGAUAAAAACAAAAGUACCUUUUGAUCUUGUUCAUUGUGACAUAUGGGGAGCAUUGAAAAUAUCUUCUCUUUCUGGAGCCCAUUAUAUUUUGACAAUAGAGGAUGAUUUUUCAAGACACACAUGGGUUUAUUUAAUGCGUCAUAAACAUGAUACUCAAAGAAUCUUAAAAAAAAAAAUUUGCUUGUGUCAAAACCGAAUUUCGUACAUCUGUCAAAAACUUUAGAGUAGACAAUGGUAGGGAGUUCACUUCCAUGCUUGAUUUUUUCAAUAACUUAGGCAUCUUGUUUGAACAUAGCUAUACUUAUACACCCCAACAAAAUAGUGUCGCUGAAUGUAGCUCAUGCCUUACGUUUUCAAGUACAUUUACCUCUGUUAUGCCACUCAAGUCCACAUUGAACAUAAAUUUGACCAUCGAGCCAAGAAGUGCAUUUUCCUUGGGUACCCUUUAGGACAAAAGGCUUAUAGAGUUUGGGAUUUACAUACAAAUAAAUUUUUCAUUAGCAAGGAUGUUGUAACGCCCCAAAUUUUAUCGAUUUAAAAAUUGAGGUGUUACCAAUAUCAUUUCAUAAACAUACAUCAAGUGAAAAUAUAAAUUGGAACUUUAAAACUCCUAAUUUAUUUAAUACUCAAAGGCUAAAUCAAAUAAAUGUAUUGUCAGGUAAUAUGAAACGUUAAAUGGAAAUCAAUGGAAACACAAAAUGUCCUAGAAGAAUUAUUUUUAAAUUUUUUUCUUGAAAAUUUCUUUACUUGGCAACCCGCACACCGCUCAACCACCAUCCACGUCGAUCGAUCUAACCUAAAAUGUUAAAAUUGAAGGAAUGACUAAAUUAUACUCAGUAGGAUUCGUGCAUCCAAACAAUAUAAUAACUUUUAAAACAUGAAUUUACAACAUUCCAUACCAGCAUUUCAUCAAGGGCAAUCGGUGAUCAAUCAAAUACUCUAACAUAUUUGAGAAGACCCGAAGGAGAUCUCACAUUUUAUUUCACUUCAUAGGGACCAGUAGGUCAAUUAGCAUUUCAUGAAAUAAAUCACAUCAAAAAUUAUAAUAUUAAAAGGAUGGAACAACUUGUACAUAGUAUCCUACCUCGUUAGAUCAACGAACUUUUGAAAGAAUAAUCCAAGAGAAUAUUUCAAUUUCCAGACUUCUACAGCUUCCUUGAACGUAAUUAAAGAUGGAGAAUGGCUUUCUGCUUUUAAAAUAUGUGCCAACAAUUUGAUUUUUACAAAAUAUUUAUAGUAAAAAAAUGAGUCUUGUUGCCUUUGAAAUUGAUAAACUGUGUAUGUGUGUGGAAUAGAUGGACAUUAAAAAGCAAGGAAGCUAUUGAAUUUAAAAAACAAAACCAAAGUUAAAGGAAUGGUGUUCUUGGCAAAAUAUGUGUAGUAUUU